CCAUCUUGAGCGCUGCUCCGACGCUCUGCAGAUUGUUUUUGGUCGCCUUGCUGAUGGAGGAACCCGGCCUGAUCAUUAUGUAAUAUUAAAACUCCCUGCGCUCAUAAAAACACUUGAGUCCUGAGUUAAUUAAGCAUGAGUGCGGAAUUACCGAUAGACUUUCUCAUUUGCCUGAACCAAGGCCUGCAGGAAGAGCAGCGCCUCAUCAAGCAAAUCAAGGCUGAAGCGCAAC
rnacentral:misc_RNA from 1 species